rnacentral:rRNA from 1 species
GACGAACGCUGGCGGCGUGCCUAAUACAUGCAAGUCGAGCGAGCGGAACUAACAGAUUUACUUCGGUAAUGACGUUAGGAAAGCGAGCGGCGGAUGGGUGAGUGACACGUGGGGAACCUGCCCCAUAGUCUGGGAUACCACUUGGAAACAGGUGCUAAUACCGGAUAAGAAAGCAGAUCGCAUGAUCAGCUUUUAAAAGGCGGCGUAAGCUGUCGCUAUGGGAUGGCCCCGCGGUGCAUUAGCUAGUUGGUAAGGUAAAGGCUUACCAAGGCGAUGAUGCAUAGCCGAGUUGAGAGACUGAUCGGCCACAUUGGGACUGAGACACGGCCCAAACUCCUACGGGAGGCAGCAGUAGGGAAUCUUCCACAAUGGACGCAAGUCUGAUGGAGCAACGCCGCGUGAGUGAAGAAGGUUUUCGGAUCGUAAAGCUCUGUUGUUGGUGAAGAAGGAUAGAGGUAGUAACUGGCCUUUAUUUGACGGUAAUCAACCAGAAAGUCACGGCUAACUACGUG